AAUCAUUAUUGAAAAUGACUGUUUUCCAGUUUGUAGCUUCUGAUUACAUUUCUGUAAAAGUGACGUCAUUUAAUUAACUUGAAACGCUCUUCUGCCAGGGGAGCCAGCACAUGAACAGCUGUCUUCACUUUUUCUAUGUGCCCAACAACAAUAGAAUGAAAGUGAUACAGUAAGUUGAUUAAUAAAUAGAAUACAGAGACAUUAAUAAAUUAAUAAUUAAUAAGUAAUUACUAGAAUAAAACUGUAGAGCAAUGUUUAAUUGGUCUAGAUGAAAGUCUUGCUUUCCUGCAUAUUUUCCACAGCUGCGCGUGUCAGGUCAUUGUGUUCCGGCACAGUCUUUGGGAGCUGACACCGACACUUGAGCAGAUGUGCGUCUUCUGGUUUUUGUGGGAUCAGCGAUAGCAUGUGACUCCUCUAGUAGAGGACUGAGAUUUCCCUGGUUUUCCACUGCACCCAAUGGUGACCUGCUGACUUCGGGUAGCUCUCACGUUAAGAAGGCAGAGGCAGCUGCACCAAAUCUCCUCUCAUCAUUAUCCGAGAUGGAUGACAGCUCUUCCCAGCUGCUGGUAUUCUGUCACUUUCUUUGCUGUGGGCUGUCCUGGAAGGUGUGUGAACUUCGAUGGGGCCACUCUCUGAAGCUGAGGCUGACCCUGAAGAGUCUGAGAGAGGCCGUCUGUUCACUGUGCUGCCCACACCUGGUCAGCAAGUUCCACCUUGAAGAAGCACCUCGACAUCAGAUAGUCUGCCAUAUGUCGUGUCUAGACAAGAUGGGAAAAAAUGAGAUCGAUUACCUCCAGGCAUCCUCUGAUCUAACCAGAGUAAGAACUCUGUUCACUACAUAAGUGUCUCGUGUGCUACCAGACGUGUAGAAAGCCGAAAGCACCAAAUGACACCGGUCAUUGCCGUGAGCUGCUUGGAAAGUCAACUCUGAGAUGGAGAUGAGCAUCCAGGAGUUUGUUGGCAAGUGUUCUUGGGACCACCCACUCUGGGAGGGGAGCGAGGGAGGUGGCCUGGGCAGGAGGAGAAGCUGGCCUGUGAGGGGGGCCUCAACACAAGCCAACCCAAGCUCCCGUGGGGAGCCUCGAAGCCGGGCCAGGCCUUUCUACCUGUCCGUAAACAAGUCAUUGAACCUGGGCACCCUGGGAAGAGGACGUGGCCAUGUUGAGAUGCCACUUUUCAUCUGAAGCAAGUCUGAGGAGGGCUGAUGGCUGGGGCUUUCUCCGGAAGCCCUCCUGGAAGCUUCAGGAAUAAUCCUGAUGGGUCUCUGAGGGGUACCUCACAGCAUCCCCACUGGAAGCGGACUGAGCCUGUCCCGGCUAACUUAGGCCACUGCUACUGUUGCCGCUGCUGCUGCCACCCCUGCUGUUACUUAAAGAAUCCUGAACAAAUGCUGAAAAGAGGUCACGCCUGAGACAGCAGCUAUACACGCGGCUGUUGCUGAGCAAAUCAGGAGGCAGCCACCCUGUCUGUAGCAGAGUUCAAGGCAUGAUUUCCAGGAGAAAGGACGACUUAACGUUUACCAGCCUUGAAAGAGAGAGACAGAGCAUGAACAGGGGAGGGGCAGAGAGAGA